GGAAGGUUGGCUGAGUGGUUUAAAGCUCUGGUCUUGAAAACCAGCGUGUGAGAGAUUGCACCCGGGGUUCGAAUCCCCGGCCUUCCACCA
rnacentral:tRNA from 2 species